rnacentral:rRNA from 1 species
GACGUACGCUGGCGGCGUGCUUAACACAUGCAAGUCGAACGGAAAGGCCCUGCUUUUGUGGGGUGCUCGAGUGGCGAACGGGUGAGUAACACGUGAGUAACCUGCCCUUGACUUUGGGAUAACUUCAGGAAACUGGGGCUAAUACCGGAUAGGAGCUCCUGCUGCAUGGUGGGGGUUGGAAAGUUUCGGCGGUUGGGGAUGGACUCGCGGCUUAUCAGCUUGUUGGUGGGGUAGUGGCUUACCAAGGCUUUGACGGGUAGCCGGCCUGAGAGGGUGACCGGCCACAUUGGGACUGAGAUACGGCCCAGACUCCUACGGGAGGCAGCAGUGGGGAAUAUUGCACAAUGGGCGGAAGCCUGAUGCAGCAACGCCGCGUGCGGGAUGACGGUCUUCGGGUUGUAAACCGCUUUCGCCUGUGACGAAGCGUGAGUGACGGUAAUGGGUAAAGAAGCACCGGCUAACUACGUG